rnacentral:tRNA from 1 species
GCCUUGGAAAGAUAAUAGACAUCUAUU